rnacentral:rRNA from 1 species
GACGAACGCUGGCGGCGUGCUUAACACAUGCAAGUCGAACGAUGAAGCCGGAGCUUGCUCUGGUGAAUUAGUGGCGAACGGGUGAGUAACACGUGAGUAACCUGCCCUUGACUCUGGGAUAACUGCUAGAAAUGGUAGCUAAUACCGGAUACGACCCUCGGAGGCAUCUCCAGGGGGUGGAAAGAAUUUCGGUCAAGGAUGGACUCGCGGCCUAUCAGCGAGUUGGUGAGGUAAUGGCCCACCCAGGCGACGGCGGGUAGCCGGCCUGAGAGGGUGACCGGCCACACUGGGACUGAGACACGGCCCAGACUCCUACGGGAGGCAGCAGGGGGGAAUAUUGCACAAUGGGAGCAAGCCUGAUGCAGCAACGCCGCGUGAGGGAUGACGGCAUUCGGGUUGUAAACCUCUUUUAGUAGGGAAGAAGCGAAAGUGACGGUACCUGCAGAAAAAGCACCGGCUAACUACGUGCCAGCCGCCGCCGUAA